CACGUGGGAACCUUCCUAGGGGUACGGAACAACUCAGGGAAACUUGAGCUAAUACCGUAUACGUCCGUGAGGAGAAAGAUUUAUCGCCCCUAGACGGGCCCGCGUAGGAUUAGGUAGUUGGUGAGGUAACGGCUCACCAAGCCUACGAUCCUUAGCUGAUCUGAGAGGAUGAUCAGCCACACUGGGACUGAGACACGGCCCAGACUCCUACGGGAGGCAGCAGUGGGGAAUCUUGGACAAUGGGCGCAAGCCUGAUCCAGCCAUGCCGCGUGAGUGAAGAAGGCUUCGGGUUGUAAAGCUCUUUUACCAGGGACGAUAAUGACGGUACCUGGAGAAUAAGCCCCGGCAAACUUCGUG
rnacentral:rRNA from 1 species